rnacentral:rRNA from 1 species
UGUAACAAGGUUUCCGUAGGUGAACCUGCGGAAGGAUCAUUAUUGAAUAGUUAUUGGGCGCUGUGCUGGCCUUUCGGGGCAUGUGCACGCGUUCAUUUCUAUCUUUUCUUUUGUGAACCUAGUGUAGGCUUUGAAUGCGUGGACUUGGGGAAACCUGGGUUUGCAAGUUUGAAGACUAUUUUAUAAACGUCUAAAAAGUUAUUAGAAGGUCUUUUAUCUUUUGCUUCGGCGAAGGAAAACUAUACAACUUUCAGCAACGGAUCUCUUGGCUCUCCCAUCGAUGAAGAACGCAGCGAAAUGCGAUAACUAAUGUGAAUUGCAGAAUCCAGUGAAUCAUCGAGUCUUUGAACGCACCUUGCGCUCUUUGGAAUUCCGAAGGGCAUGCCUGUUUGAGUGUCAUUAAAUUCUCAACUUCGAUAGAUUCGUUUAUCGAGGCUUGGAUGUGAGGGUUUUUGCUGGCUUCCUUCAGUGGCGGUCUGCUCCCUUUAAAUGCAUUAGUGGGAUCCUUUGUGGACGGUUCACUUGGUGUGAUAAUCUAUCUACGCCUUGUAACUGGAAGCAAAACCUAUGGGAACCUGCUUAUAACCGUCUGUAAUGGACAAUGUUUUUGAAACUUGACCUCAAAUCAGGUAGGACUACCCGCUGAACUUAAGCAUAUCA